rnacentral:tRNA from 1 species
GGGUGAGUAGCUCAGUUGGUUAGAGCGCCUGCCUCACAUGCAGGAGGUCGUGGGUUCGAGUCCCGCUUCGCCCACCA